rnacentral:rRNA from 1 species
GGCGUAAGCGCGCGUAGGCGGCUAAUUAAGUCAAAUGUGAAAUCCCCGACCUUAACUUGGGAAUUGCAUUCGAUACUGGUUAGCUAGAGUGCGGGAGAGGAUGGUAGAAUUCCAGGUGUAGCGGUGAAAUGCGUAGAGAUCUGGAGGAAUACCGAUGGCGAAGGCAGCCAUCUGGCCUAACACUGACGCUGAGGUGCGAAAGCAUGGGGAGCAAACAGGAUUAGAUACCCUGGUAGUCCAUGCCGUAAACGAUGUCUACUAGCCGUUGGGGCCUUUGAGGCUUUAGUGGCGCAGCUAACGCGAUAAGUAGACCGCCUGGGGAGUACGGUCGCAAGACUAAAACUCAAAUGAAUUGACGGGGGCCCGCACAAGCGGUGGAGCAUGUGGUUUAAUUCGAUGCAACGCGAAGAACCUUACCUGGCCUUGACAUAGUAAGAACUUUCCAGAGAUGGAUUGGUGCCUUCGGGAACUUACAUACAGGUGCUGCAUGGCUGUCGUCAGCUCGUGUCGUGAGAUGUUGGGUUAAGUCCCGCAACGAGCGCAACCCUUUUCCUUAUUUGCCAGCGAGUAAUGUCGGGAACUUUAAGGAUACUGCCAGUGACAAACUGGAGGAAGGCGGGGACGACGUCAAGUCAUCAUGGCCCUUACGGCCAGGGCUACACACGUGCUACAAUGGUCGGUACAAAGGGUUGCUACCUAGCGAUAGGAUGCUAAUCUCAAAAAGCCGAUCGUAGUCCGGAUUGGAGUC